rnacentral:pre_miRNA from 1 species
AAUAAAUAUAGUUUUACACGGUUCAUGUUCAACUUUUGACCGUUCGUCUUAUUUGAAAUUAUUUUAUGAUUAGUAUUUUUGUUGUUAUUAGAUGAUAAAACAUGAAUAGUACUUUACGUGUGACUAAUUUUUUUUAAUUUUUUUAUAAAUUUUUCAAAUAAGAUAAAUGGCCAAACGUCGGACACAGUUCCCCAUGACUGCACUUAUU